UAUUUAUUCAUCGUCUUUGUGACUAUUAAUGAAUUUAAGUCAAUUAAAAACAUAGGUUGUCAAUGUAAAUAGGAACAAUAUCAAGAGGCUAAUAUCUAGACAAAGAAGACACUGCAACAAUACAACCAGAUAGACACAUGGCAACAGUAUUUAGUCUGUAAAAGUGGCAGUCACUUUCUCCCUGUAUUUACAGUAUCUAAACAAAGACUUUCUUAUGCUUUAUGGUUCACAGUUUUAACCCACUACAUAAUCAGAGAGGAUCCCCUGAAAAACUAGAGAAAGAACAGAAAGCAGUCCUACUAAAUUUGUGUCUACAAGCCGCACUUUAUCACAGAGAAACGUUCCAGGGAGCUGUGAACACACUGCUGUCACUCUUCUCUGUGUAUCAAACUGAGAGAUAUGACAUCCUGCUGGAUCUGUACUCACAUGUGAAGGACUAUGAGACUCAAACAGGCAGGAGUGUCCUUCCAUCAUUGAGGCCACUUUAUCAGUCAGCUCCUGCAGUCUGGUCCAUAGACCUCUCAGAGAGAAAAGCCUCCCUCCUCCUAGAAGUGCUGAAACUCGAACCAGAUAAAAAAUCUGUCGAGCUGAAAGGCUGGUCAGACAAAGAGAGUGAAGUGAGGAGUUUCCUUCAGUGUCUGCCCUACAUCUCACAGCUGAGGUGAGUUGGAUCAGUACAGUUGAGGGAUUGUUGUCUGUCCCUGUAUUUCCCUUUUAAAAAGGAAGUUUGUUCGUAACAACCUAAUAUGCUAAACAUACACAUCCUGUUUUGAAAAGAUACAAUCUUACUUUGUGGUCAUGAUUAUAAGGAACGAUUGAAGUGGAUGAUGAGUUUAGAAAAAUAGUCAUGUUACUUUACCCACCGUAAUGUGACCAUCAGAAAUGCAUAUUAUAUCUCUCACAUAUUCAUCUAUUUGUUGUUAAACUGUUCAUGCAGUUUUACUUCACCACAGGAUCAGAGAAGAUCCCCUGAAGAGUGGAGAAAGAGAGAGAAGACAUUCCUACUGAAUCUGUGUCUUCAAGCAGCCCUCCAUGCGAGAGAACACAUACAAACAACUGUAGAGAAAGUGUUUUCAUUGUCUGAAGUUUAUCAUGAUCGGAAAUGGGAUUUCCUGCUGGAUCUGUACUCACAUGUGAAGGACUAUGAGACUCAAACAGGCAGGAAUGUCCUUCCAGCAUUACAGCCAGUUUACCAGUCAGCUCCUGCAGUCUGGUCCAUAGACCUCUCAGAGAGAAAGGCCUCCCUCCUCCUAGAAGUGCUGAAACUCCAACCAGAGAAGAAACCAGUAGAGCUGGAAGGCUUGUCAGAUGAAGAGAGUGAAGUGAGGAGUUUCCUUCAGUGUCUGCCCUACAUCUCACAGCUGAGCUGUGAUGAUGACAGGUUCUUCCAGACUGUGUGUGAAUCCAUCCCUGUGAGGUCCAGAGAGGAGGACCAGCAGUUGGCCUCUCUCCUCCAGGCCUUGGGCUCCACCCUGUCACUGGGAGGAGAGUUACCCAGGAAAACCUGCAGGUCUGUGGGGAGAGUCCUGGGUCUCUGUGCCUCCAGAGUGGACCUCACUCUCACCCCCAGCAAGAUCUCUCUCCAAGGAGCCUUACUUCUUUUGAGACAUGAGUCAAAGCUCCACAAGCUCAGGCUGAAUGUGGGUAUGGCAGUGAAACUGUCCAGACUGGUUAGGAGGACAGAGAGAGGUGCUACUCCACUGACUGUCCCAGAACUCUCCCUGGUCCUAAAGAGCAGCCAGCCACCAGAGAGAGUGUUAUCCAGGGCUCUGAGUAGUGUGGCGUCCCUGCUGAGACUCUGGAGGGUUCAGUGUCUGGACCUGACUGACUUCUGGAUCCAGGGUCACUCUCUCAUCACACUGCUGUGUCACCAGGGACCUCUCUCUCUCAGGUCAGUCUGAAGCUGAUGUUUUUUAAAUAGAAAUAGUAACUUCAUUCAUGUGUUUUUCUUCAUAUUUCUGACUGCCUAUAUGUUCCAACCUCCUAGACUGAACUCAGACACUCUGCAGCAGCUGGCUGUGGCUGUGUAUGAAGCUCAGGACAAGGACUUGACUCAGUGGUUCCUGGAGAAGGUUGGUGGAGACCUGACCUCCUGCAGGCUGGACUGGGACGUGCUUCUCUCUCUGCUGCAGCAUUCAACCCACAACAUCACAGUGGACCUCAGGAAGAACAGGCUUCUAGAGAAGAACAUCUCAGAUCUUCUCCCCUUUCUGGGAAGGGUUAUAUUCAAGAGGUGACUGAACUUAAUUUUAUAUUUAAAGACUUUUUUAGAAAGAAGAAAACAAAUAUUUUACCCAGUGACAUUGUUUUGAGUUAUACCCUGUAUUAUCAUUAGGGUUAUAUGCAAGAGGUGUUUGAUCUUUAUUUAUUGAUAUUGAUAUUGAUAUUGAUAGACUGUUAAAUGUUCUACCCAGCUAGUUGUUGCUAUGUGAGUUGUCCUUUUUAAAACCUUAACAUAACCAUGACAAUGCAUUCUACAUCCAAUCUUCUUUCUGAAGGCUCAGUUCCAGCUUUGUGAAGUCCACCAUCAGACAGAUCUAUGACAGUAGAGACAGUGACUGUGUGUCCAGUUUGUUGAGGUCUUCAGACCAUUGGAUCAACCUGAACAGCAGAGAGCUGGACAGAGUGGACUGUACUGCUCUGUGUUUCACCCUGCAGCACAGCCACCAAGUCAAAGUCAACCUGCUGUGGACCUCCAUACCACCGGGGGAGAUAGAGAGCAUCCUGCCUCUUCUGGACAGAGUCUCCCAACUCAGGUUUAGUUGGCACUCUUUGACCAUUUUAGAAUGGAUAGAACUAUGGUGCUUUACACUGUCUGACUGAUUUUAACCACUAACCCUAACCUUAGUGUAAUGCACUUACCUUACCCUCAGGGGUGGAAUUGAAGGGGAACACGUGGGAGUUGAUGUGAUACACAGAGUUGUAGUGUGUUUUAUCAGUGUUUUAUUGUGUGCUGGUGUGUAAAUAAUCCUGUCUCUCUCUCUCUCUCUCUCCCUCCUGCUGUAGUGUUGACAGGAAGCUGUUGCUGAGUUUCCUCCACUCCUGCGCUGCCUCUCAGAUCCUACAGGGGGCACUAUCACCACCACCAACAAUAACAACAACAGCAGCAGAGCUGCUCAGGGCUCUGCAGCACAGGUUGGACUUCUCCUGCUCCUCCUCUGUGGACCUGUCAGCUCACGACCAGGGGGAGGCGCUGUGUCUGACCACUGACCACUGUAGGGCCAUAAACUCUGUUCUGAAGCAGAGCCAACACAGCACACGGCUGGUUCAGAACCCGACCCGGAACCAGUCCCGAAACCAGCCCCAGGUGCAACUCAUCCUUAAAGACUGUGAGGUGGAGCAUGGAGCACUGAGAGAGCUGCUUCCCAUCUUGCAUAUUGUCAAGCUGAGGUUAGACACACAAGGACAAACUAGUUUAUAAAAGUAGGAGUUAGAGCUGUCUCAUAAUGUUAUCUCUGGUUAUUGUCCCCUCAGCCCCAGCAAAGCUCUGCUACUUCAGCUGCUGGACCAUGUGUGUGAGGGGAUUGAAGAGGGGGUUCUGAAGCACGCAGAGUCCCUGUGCAGAGCCCUGGAUGGGGAGCUGGACCUCAGUAAGACCAGGCUGAACCAGAAGGCCUGUGGAUCUCUGGCCCUGGUUCUGGAACACUCAGAGGGGCUGUCAGAACUGUACCUCAACCACUGCCAACUCACAGACCACCACCUACAGCCCCUGCUCACACACCUGCACAAAGUUGAAGUCCUGGAGUGAGUGGGUUUCACUCUGUGUGUGUGUGUGUGUGUGUGUGUGUGUGUGUGUGUGUGUGUGUGUGUGUGUGUGUGUGUGUGUGUGUGUGUAAAACC
rnacentral:lncRNA from 8 species